rnacentral:rRNA from 1 species
UACCAGCACCCCGAGUGGUCGGGACGUUUAUUGGGCCUAAAGCAUCCGUAGCCGGUUCUACAAGUCUUCCGUUAAAUCCAACUGCUUAACAGGUGGGCUGCGGAAGAUACUAUAGAGCUAGGAGGCGGGAGAGGCAAGCGGUACUCGAUGGGUAGGGGUAAAAUCCGUUGAUCCAUUGAAGACCACCAGUGGCGAAGGCGGCAUCCUGGACCGAGAUUGACGCUGAGGCGCGAAAGCUAGGGGAGCAAACGGG